rnacentral:rRNA from 1 species
GUUAGGAAUAUUGGACAAUGGGCGCAAGCCUGAUCCAGCCAUGCCGCGUGAGUGAUGAAGGCCUUCGGGUUGUAAAGCUCUUUAGUCCACGAAUAUAAUGACUGUAGUGGAAGAAUAAGCCCCGGCUAACUUCGUGCCAGCAGCCGCGGUAAUACGAAGGGGGCGAGCGUUAUUCGGAAUCACUGGGCGUAAAGCGUGCGUAGGCUGUUUUGUAAGUCAGAAGUGAAAGCCCAGGGCUUAACCCUGGAAUUGCUUUUGAAACUACAAGACUCGAAUUCGGGAGAGGAUAGCGGAAUUGUCAGUGUAGCAGUGAAAUGCGUAGAUAUUGACAGGAACACCAGUGGCGCAAGCGGCUAUCUGGACGAGUAUUGACGCUGAGGCACGAAAGCGUGGGGAUCAAACAGGAUUAGAAACCCCGGUAGUCC